GAUGAACGCUGGCGGCGUGCCUAAUACAUGCAAGUCGAGCGAACAGAUAAGGAGCUUGCUCCUUUGACGUUAGCGGCGGACGGGUGAGUAACACGUGGGUAACCUACCUAUAAGACUGGGAUAACUUCGGGAAACCGGAGCUAAUACCGGAUAAUAUUUCGAACCGCAUGGUUCGAUAGUGAAAGAUGGUUUUGCUAUCACUUAUAGAUGGACCCGCGCCGUAUUAGCUAGUUGGUAAGGUAACGGCUUACCAAGGCGACGAUACGUAGCCGACCUGAGAGGGUGAUCGGCCACACUGGGACUGAGACACGGUCCAGACUCCUACGGGAGGCAGCAGUAGGGAAUCUUCCGCAAUUGGCGAAAGCCUGACGGAGCAACGCCGCGUGAGUGAUGAAGGUCUUCGGAUCGUAAAACUCUGUUAUUAGGGAAGAACAUACGUGUAAGUAACUGUGCACGUCUUGACGGUACCUAAUCAGAAAGCCACGGCUAACUACGUG
rnacentral:rRNA from 1 species